AAAAAGACAAACCCUGGUUUCCGUGUCCAACGUUUGACCGUCCGUCUUAUUUGAAAAAAUUAUGAAAAAAAUUAAAAAGACAAGUCACGCAUAAAAUAUUAAUCAUAUUUUAUCAUCUAACAACAAUGAAAAUACGAAUUAUAAAAAAAUUUCAUAUAAGACGGACAAUCAAAGUUGGACACGGAAACCCAAGAUUUGCCUUUUU
rnacentral:pre_miRNA from 1 species